rnacentral:rRNA from 1 species
UGAGUAACGCGUGAGAAUCUAGCUCUAGGUCGGGGACAACCACUGGAAACGGUGGCUAAUACCGGAUAAGCCGUGAGGUAAAAGAUUUAUUGCCUAGAGAUGAGCUCGCGUCUGAUUAGCUAGUUGGUGUGGUAAGAGCGCACCAAGGCGACGAUCAGUAGCUGGUCUGAGAGGAUGAUCAGCCACACUGGGACUGAGACACGGCCCAGACUCCUACGGGAGGCAGCAGUGGGGAAUUUUCCGCAAUGGGCGAAAGCCUGACGGAGCAAUACCGCGUGAGGGAGGAAGGCUCUUGGGUUGUAAACCUCUUUUCUCAAGGAAUAAUUCAAUGAAGGUACUUGAGGAAUAAGCAUCGGCUAACUCCGUGCCAGCAGCCGCGGUAAUACGGAGGAUGCAAGCGUUAUCCGGAAUGAUUGGGCGUAAAGGGUCCGCAGGUGGCAUUGAAAGUCUGCUGUUAAAGAGUGAGGCUUAACCUCAUAAAAGCAGUGGAAACUACARAGCUAGAGUGCGUUCGGGGUAGCAGGAAUUCCUGGUGUAGCGGUGAAAUGCGUAGAGAUCAGGAAGAACACCGGUGGCGAAAGCGUGCUACUAGGCCGUAACUGACACUGAGGGACGAAAGCUAGGGGAGCGAAUGGGAUUAGAUACCCCAGUAGUCCUAGCCGUAAACGAUGGAUACUAGGCGUGGCUUGUAUCGACCCGAGCCGUGCCGGAGCUAACGCGUUAAGUAUCC